rnacentral:rRNA from 1 species
GGAGGGCAAGUCUGGUGCCAGCAGCCGCGGUAAUUCCAGCUCCAAUGGCGUAUAUUAAAGUUGUUGCAGUUAAAAAGCUCGUAGUUGAAUUUCGGGGUUCUACCGUUGGUCGGGCUUUGUCUGUACUGGUGUGUAGAAUUUCUACCUUCUGGGGAACCAUCAUGCUAUUAAUUUAGCGUGGUGGGAAACCAGGACCUUUACCUUGAAAAAAUUAGUGUGUUCAAAGCAGGCUUAUGUCUGAAUACAUUAGCGUGGAAUAAUAGAAUAGGACGGUGGUCCUGUUUUGUUGGUUUCUGAAUCACCGUAAUGAUUAAUAGGGAUAGUUGGGGGCAUUAGUAUUCAAUUGUCAGAGGUGAAAUUCUUGGAUUUAUUGAAGACUAACUUCUGCGAAAGCAUUUGCCAAGGAUGUUUUCAUUAAUCAAGGACGAAAGUUAGGGGAUCGAAGACGAUCAGAUACCGUCGUAGUCUUAACCAUAAACUAUGCCGACUAGGGAUCGGACGAUGUUAAUUUUUCUUGACUCGUUCGGCGCCUUACGGGAAAC